GGGCUAGUUAAAGAUUCGACAUAGAUUAUUUGGCUUAAGUUGCAGUCGAGUUGUGACGUAAUCACUAAAUUUAAGAAUAUCUGGCAACAGAAAUUCAAAUUUCGCAUUCGCUGCUUGCUAGUCAAGCCUUCAGUUAUUAAUUAUUAAUUGAAAUGCGUGCGCCUAAGAUUUCUCUUCUAGGUCUUAGUCACCGUAUCAUAAAUAGGAGAUAAGUAAUAGAUGAUGGUUAUAGUCUAUUAACGAAAACCUAAUAAUCUCGUGAAGUAAAAUUUGUAUGAUUAAUAACUUCAUUAAAUUUUAAUCAAUACUAAACUGUAGUAACUUUUGUGGGGUAAUCUAUGGACCAGAGUGCAAUUCUCUGCUGGUCCACCA
rnacentral:tmRNA from 1 species